rnacentral:rRNA from 1 species
GACGAACGCUGGCGGCGUGCUUAACACAUGCAAGUCGAACGAAGAGCGACGGAAGCUUGCUUCUCUCAAUCUUAGUGGCGACCGGGUGAGUAACGCGUAAUCAACCUGCCCUUCAGAGGGGGACAACAGUUGGAAACGACUGCUAAUACCUCAUACGAUCUAAUCUCGGCAUCGAGGAUGGAUGAAAGGUGGCCUCUACAUGUAAGCUAUCACUGAAGGAGGGGAUUGCGUCUGAUUAGCUAGUUGGAGGGGUAACGGCCCACCAAGGCGAUGAUCAGUAGCGGGCUUGAAGGAAGAAAGGGCAAAAUGGGAACGGAGAAAGGGCCAAAACUCUAAGGGAAGGAACAGGGGGGGAAUCUUCGGAAAGGAAGGAAGGGCGGAGGGAGAAAGGCGGGGGAAGUAAUGAGGCCUUCGGGUUGUAAAGCUCUGUUAAUCGGGACGAAAGGCCUUCUUGCGAAUAGUGAGAAGGAUUGACGGUACCGGAAUAGAAAGCCACGGCUAACUACGUG